ACCACACACACUGCAGUGCUGCUGAGCACAUAAAAUAUCAAGUGCAUUCUUCUGCCUCAAGGUCACACUUACCUGUUUCCAAAGGAGUGAUGGUGGUGGAAAUGUUCCGACGUGACUGUGGAGCUGGAUGAGAGAAUGAAAAACCCACAAUAUGUCACAAAUUCAGAGGUGGUAUAACCUGGUGGCAAGAGCCUGCACUUUGGACUCAGACCAGACCUUGAUUCUAGGCCACCGAUGGCAUUUAAUAGCCAGCCGUGUGGAUGAAAGGCUCUUGGUGCUCCAGCCAGGCAUCAGGGCUGUGCCUCUGAGGUGGGAGAGCCAACUUCAGG